GCCAGGUGUGGUGGCGAGCACCUGUAGUCCCAGCUACUUGGGAGGCUGAGGCAGGAGAAUCACUUGAAACCAGGAGGUGGAGGUUGCAGUGAGCUGAGAUUGCACCACUGCACUCCAGCCUGGGUAACAGAGUGAGACUCUGUCUCAA
ensembl:misc_RNA Metazoa_SRP Metazoan signal recognition particle RNA